GACGAACGCUGGCGGCGUGCCUAAUACAUGCAAGUAGAACGCUGAAGGAGGAGCUUGCUUCUCUGGAUGAGUUGCGAACGGGUGAGUAACGCGUAGGUAACCUGCCUGGUAGCGGGGGAUAACUAUUGGAAACGAUAGCUAAUACCGCAUAAGAGUAGAUGUUGCAUGACAUUUGCUUAAAAGGUGCAAUUGCAUCACUACCAGAUGGACCUGCGUUGUAUUAGCUAGUUGGUCGGGUAACGGCUUACCAAGGCGACGAUACAUAGCCGACCUGAGAGGGUGAUCGGCCACACUGGGACUGAGACACGGCCCAGACUCCUACGGGAGGCAGCAGUAGGGAAUCUUCGGCAAUGGACGGAAGUCUGACCGAGCAACGCCGCGUGAGUGAAGAAGGUUUUCGGAUCGUAAAGCUCUGUUGUAAGAGAAGAACGAGUGUGAGAGUGGAAAGUUCACACUGUGACGGGAUCUUACCAGAAAGGGACGGCGAACUACGU
rnacentral:rRNA from 1 species